rnacentral:rRNA from 1 species
CUGGUUGAUCCUGCCAGUAGUCAUAUGCUUGUCUCAAAGAUUAAGCCAUGCAUGUCUAAGUGUAAAUACGUCUACACUGUGAAACUGCGAAUGGCUCAUUAAAUCAGUUAUCGUUUAUUUGAUGAUCUCUUGUUACAUGGAUAACCGUAGUAAUUCUAGAGCUAAUACAUGCGUCAAGCCCCGACUCACGAAGGGGUGUAUUUAUUAGAUUCAAAGCCAACCGUGUAAAAGCGUACCUUGGUGAUUCAUAAUAACUUGUCAAACCGCACGCCCUUGAGGCAGCGGUGAUUCAUUCAAAUUU